rnacentral:misc_RNA from 1 species
GAUGAAGAACGUAGCGAAAUGCGAUACGUAAUGUGAAUUGCAGAUUUCAGUGAAUCAUCGAAUCUUUGAACGCACAUUGCGCCCGCUAGUAUUCUGGCGGGCAUGCCUGUUCGAGCGUCAUUUCAACCAUCAAGCCCUAGGCUUGCGUUGGAGCCCUGCGGCUGCCGCAGGCUCCCAAAUCCAGUGGCGGGCUCGUCGUCGUACCGAGUGCAGUAAACAUCCUCGCUCAGGGAACGUGACGGGUUCUUGCCGUGAAACCCCCCACAUAUCAAGGUUGACCUCGGAUCAGGUAGGAAUACCCGCUGAACUUAAGCAUAUCAAAAGCGAAGGA